AUGCGUUCCUCUGGGAGUAGGAGCCAUUGAACUGGGUGGGAAAUCCCCACUGAAACAGGCCAGAUUUCUUUUUUUAUUGCUGGGAGAAGGGAAGGGGCCCUUGCUUUUGGCUCCGGAAGCUCCUCCUGCGGUCAGUGUGUUAGCCUAAGACAGAGGUUUUCAACCGUUUUGAGUCCAUGGCUCUCUUGACCAACUGCAUUCUUUUUGCGGCACUCCUGUGGGACUCAGGAGCCCAGUUAUGGGUCACCAGUUAUGGGUCACCCCUUGCCUGCAGAGCUGGCAGCCGCUCACCUUUUUUCGAACACCCUCCCUUGUGGAGUCAUCCCUCAGCCUCCUCUCUUCUCCCCUCUCCUUGGGAGUCCUCUGGGCAGCUGCUGCUGCUGCCGCAGUCCCUAGUCCCCGAGCUGCGUCCGCUGCCCACAGAGGCCUGGGAAGCACCCACUGGCCAGCCCCAGAGGCACCCUUCGCCUGGGGAACUUGUAGCCAAGGCUGCUGCAACAAACAGCGGUGCAAGCCUUUGGGAGGCAGAGAUGCAAGAAGGCAUCAGAGAAGGGAGGGAAAGAAAAAGGAGCAGAGGCCAGUGUUGCGCGCGGCACCCCUGCACAUCAUUGAAAACCGCUGGCCUAAGAAGAUACCAAAUUGACCUCCUGUGGUUCUUUUAUAAAAUAAAUCACCACUUGUGGCGCCACAGCAUUUGUUUCAACAUACAAUGCUUCUUCUUGUGACAUCCUCCAGAUCUCGUCACCUGCUUUAGUGCCAGGAAUUCCUUCCUAAUUGUACAAAUUUCAGAGAUGUUACAGAAAGAAGCUGGUCAUGCUGCUGAAGAGAACUUUAUCAUGCUGAUUCUCCAUUUUCUUCUGUGUAACAAGGGGAUGAGAACACUUGAGAGGAUGCUAUUGAUAAUGGGUAGGGAACCCUUUUCAAUUCCCUUUUAUGCAAUCUUCUGAGGGCCACAUGUUAGCAGUGGGCAGGACCAAAGCAAAAGCGGGU